GCCGGGCACAGUGGCACAUGCCUAUAAUCCCAGUGGCUCAGGAGGCUGAGGCAGGGGGAUCGUGAGUUCAAAGCCAGCCUCAGCAAAAGCAAGGCCCUAAGCAACUCAGUGAGACCCUGUCUCUA
rnacentral:sRNA from 1 species